UACGUAGGCAGCGAGCGUUGUUCGGAAUUACUGGGCGUAAAGAGUGUGUAGGCGGUGCUCUAAGUUCGGUGUGAAAUCUCCCGGCUUAACUGGGAGGGUGCGCCGGAAACUGGAGUGCUCGAGCGUGGGAGAGGAAAGUGGAAUUCCCUGGUGUAGCGGUGGAAAUGCGUAGAGUAUCAGGAGGAACACCGGUGGUGUAAACGGCUUUCUGGACCAUAACUGACGCUGAGGCACGAAAGCGUGGGUAGCAAACAGG
rnacentral:rRNA from 1 species